AUGAACCUAUGGAAAUGAAACCUCUGGAAAUUAAUCCAUCAUGUCCAGCAGAAGAAAAUGAUGUAUCUGUCCUGAUUCCUGUGGGGGACCAACUACCAGAAGCCCGUCUUUCCACUGAUGUUCCAGGAAAAAAGGGUUCCAAUCCAAAUCACAGCUUUCCACCAGAAACCACGGGGAUUUUUCAAGACAACAGAUUUGGACAUUUGGACAUCAGUGAUAAAUUGAGUACUGACCUCUUCCAGGACAAAAGUGAGGAGGCUUCCCUUAACCUAGUGUUUGAGCUGGAGGCUUGCUGAAGAGUAAAAGAAGAUGAGGCUCCUCUGGAGAAGGGUCAGUGCAGCAGGAACGUGGCAAGCUCCAUCCACCCAGGGCCACCUCCAGCCAGUCUACCUCUCGGUUGACUCCUGCACUGCUUGCAGAAACUGGGACUGGGACCAGGGCCUUGCCUGCUAAGGAAGAUGGAGAGAGAUCCUUUAAAACAAGGUUUCAUGUGUAUAUCCUCAAGUCUUGUGUUUCUUCUGAUUGAUUCUGGUUAUUCCAGAAUUUCUGCAUAUCUGUUCCAUAAGCAGAUUCACAAGUAUUCAUGGAGAAGAUCAUUGAAGGCCACCUGGGACACAUCUUAGAAAAUGAUCCCCAGGCUGAGUGUGACUUCCUGUGCCUGGCUGGCUGGCCUGGAGCAGAAUUUGAGAUCAUGGAUAGAGCCAGAGCUGCCGGGUCCAAAAGGAGGAAAAUGUUGUAAAAUGGGGGAUCUUUGUGCUGCUUCCUGCCAAGAGCUUCAAAUAUGGACUGAGCAGUGUCUCCAGGGCACACAAGAUGUUACAGACCCGGAAUUUACACUACAGUUAUAUUCCCACGCGUGUGAAAUGAUGUAUGUACAAAGAUAUUCAUCACAACAUUGUUUGAAAUGGCAAAAAAGAGGACAUGACCCAAAUGUGUUAAAUAAAUUACAGAACUUCCAGACAAUGCAAUAGUACAUAGCCAUUUAAAAGGAAAGAGGUCACUAGAUAGGACCUGUUAUGUCAGCAGUCCGCAAGGUACAUUACCACAUAAUAAAAGCAAGAUGAAGAACAGUGUGAAGAUUGUACUAACAGCUGUGUAGAAAUGGAAAGGAAAAGAGGAGUACAUAUCUGUCUAGGUGCUUUGCAUGCAUGAGAUGUUCUGGAAGAACACUCCCAAUCUGUUACCAGUGAGUGGCCCCUCUAGGAGGCAGCAGUGGGAGCUAGAUGGUUUUCUAAAUAUACCUGUUACAAAUUUUUGAUUUUGUUUUAGGUGCAUGUAUUGUUUAAAAU
rnacentral:lncRNA from 1 species